CCACCAAUAAGUGUGUGGCGAAACCAACCUCGCCACUAUGCACUGGAGAAGCCUGGUUGCCAGCCUCCUGCAAUGUGACUAUGGCCCCUGGGAUGUAUUUCCCUUUAAAGACAUGAUUUGGGCAUAAUGGAUUUGUGUUGUGCUGCUGCUGGCCCUUUUAAGAACCAUCUGGGGACAUACUGUGGAGUUACUGGGUGGCCACCAUUUCCUGUAUCAGAAGCACAUGGUGAGAACAAUGGAUGGCGGCCAUUUUAACUCACAGACACUGUGUGGACUUUUCAACACGGUGCCAUCUCGCCAGUGUUUGUUGCACAGAGACAUCGUGCGGUGGUUUUGGACUGUACAGCAGGGG